GUUUAGAGUUUGAUCCUGGCUCAGGGUGAACGCUAGCGGUGCGCCUAACACAUGCAAGUCGAGCGGUAUUGGUAUUACUGAUUCUUUCGGGAUGAUGAAAUAUUGAGAGAGCGGCGAACGGGUGAGUAACACGUUGGUAUCUGCCCCCAAGUCAGGGAUAGCCAUUCGAAAGGAUGAUUAAUACCGGAUAGUCUCUUUGGAGUAAAAAUUUAUUGCUUGGGGAGGAGCCUGCGGUCUAUCAGCUAGUUGGUAAGGUAAAAGCUUACCAAGGCUAUGACGGAUACCUGGUCUGAGAGGAUGAUCAGGCACAAUGGAACUGAGACACGGUCCAUACUCCUACGGGAGGCAGCAGUGAGGAAUCUUCCACAAUGGACGAAAGUCUGAUGGAGCGACACCGCGUGAAGGAUGAAGGCCUAACGGUUGUAAACUUCUUUUCUGAAGGAGCAUAAUGAGAGUACUUCAGGAAUAAGGGACGGCUAAAUACGUGCCAGCAGCCGCGGUAAUACGUAUGUCUCAAGCGUUACCCGGAAUCACUGGGUGUAAAGGGUUCGUAGGCGGAAAUUUAAGUCAGGUAUGAAAGACCGGAGCUCAACUCCGAGUUUGUGCUUGAAACUGGAUUUCUAGAAUUAGGGAGAGGUAAGCGGAAUUCUAAGUGUAGGGGUGCAAUCCGUAGAUACUUAGAGGAACACCAAAAGCGAAGGCAGCUUACUGGAACUAUAUUGACGCUGAUGAACGAAAGCGUGGGUAGCGAAAAGGAUUAGAUACCCCUGUAGUCCACGCCCUAAACGUUGAUAAUUAAGUGUUGCACAUUGGUGCAGUGCUGUAGCUAACGCGUUAAAUUAUCCACCUGAGGAGUACGGUCGCAAGAUUAAAACUCAAAGGAAUAGACGGGGACCCACACAAGCAGUGGAUCACGUGGUUUAAUUCGACAAUAAACGGGGAACCUUACCCAGACUUGACAUCUACCGAAUCUUUUAGAGAUAAAAGAGUGCCUUUAUUGGAGCGGUAAGACAGGUGCUGCAUGGUUGUCGUCAGCUCGUGCCUUGAGGUGUUCGGUUAAGUCCGUUAACGAGCGCAACCCAUGUCUUUAGUUAUUAUGUCUAAAGAGACUGCCUUGGUUAACAAGGAGGAAGGUGUGGAUGACGUCAAAUCAGCAUGGCUUUUACGUCUGGGGCUACACACAUGAUACAAUGGUAUGUACAAAGAGCAGCGAUACCGCGAGGUGGAGCCAAUCUUCAAAGCAUAUCUCAGUCCGGAUUGGAGUCUGCAACUCGACUCCAUGAAGUUGGAAUUGCUAGUAAUCGUGAAUCAGAUAUGUCACGGUGAAUAUGUUCCUGGGUCUUGUACUCACCGCCCGUCACGGCAUGGGAGGUAGUAAUAUCGGAAGUCCCCCUAGUAAUAUGGGGGCCCAUGGUAGGACUACUGACUGGGCUGAAGUCGUAACAAGGUAGCCAAAC
rnacentral:rRNA from 1 species